CCUACGGGUGGCAGCAGUGAGGAAUAUUGGUCAAUGGGCUUACGCCUGAACCAGCCAAGUCGCGUGAGGGAAGACUGCCCUAUGGGUUGUAAACCUCUUUUGUCAGGGAGCAACGCCGGCUACGUGUAGCCGGACUGAGAGUACCUGACGAAUAAGCCACGGCUAACUACGUGCCAGCAGCCGCGGUAAUACGUAGGUGGCAAGCGUUAUCCGGAUUUACUGGGUGUAAAGGGCGUGUAGGCGGGACUGCAAGUCAGAUGUGAAAACUCAGGGCUCAACCCUGAGCCUGCAUUUGAAACUGUAGUUCUUGAGUACUGGAGAGGCAGACGGAAUUCCUAGUGUAGCGGUGAAAUGCGUAGAUAUUAGGAGGAACACCAGUGGCGAAGGCGGUCUGCUGGACAGCAACUGACGCUGAGGCGCGAAAGCGUGGGGAGCAAACAGGAUUAGAUACCCUAGUAGUC
rnacentral:rRNA from 1 species